UCGGUCCUACGGGGGGCAGCAGUGAGGAAUAUUGGUCAAUGGGAGAGAUCCUGAACCAGCCAAGCCGCGUGAGGGAAGACGGUCCUAUGGGUUGUAAUCCUCUUUUGUCGGAGAACAAAACCCGGGACGUGUCCCGGACUGCGUGUAUCCGAAGAAAAAGCAUCGGCUAACUCCGUGCCAGCAGCCGCGCUAAUACGGAGGAUGCGAGCGUUAUCUGGAUUUAUUUGGUUUAAAGGAUGCGUAGGCGGUCCGUUAAGUCAGCGGUAAAAUUGCGUGGCUCAACCCCGUCGA
rnacentral:rRNA from 1 species